rnacentral:misc_RNA from 1 species
GGCCUUUGUUUUGGGUCAUCCAGAGUGCAAAAGCAAGCAAUUUUCAGGACCAGCAGCAUUUGCUCCUCGUACCCUUUUCCCAUCAGCUUCGGAUCUAUUGCUUGCAUUGGACUUUCGGAUGUCAUGACAUUCCUCAUCCACUUGACCAGACUCAUUUCGCGGGUGGUUUGGAAGAACUCAUCAGAUGGAAGCUUUCCUAUCACCAGAACCCCAAGCAGCACGCCAAAGCUGUAGAUGUCACACCUGUC